rnacentral:tRNA from 1 species
GGGCCAAUAGCUUAGUGGUAGAGCAUUUGAUUGCAGAUCAAGAGGUCACCGGUUCGAACCCGGUUCGACCCU